rnacentral:rRNA from 1 species
CCUACGGGAGACAGCAGUGGGGGAUAUUGCACAAUGGGGGGAACCCUGAUGCAGCGACGCCGCGUGGGUGAAGAAGCGCCUCGGCGCGUAAAGCCCUGUCAGCAGGGAAGCAAAUGACGGUACCUGAAGAAGAAGCCCCGGCUAACUACGUGCCAGCAGCCGCGGUAAUACGUAGGGGGCAAGCGUUAUCCGGAUUUACUGGGUGUAAAGGGGGCGCAGACGGCGAUGCAAGCCAGGAGUGAAAGCCCGGGGCCCAACCCCGGGACUGCUGUUGGAACUGCGUGGCUGGAGUGCAGGAGGGGCAGGCGGAAUGCCUGGUGUAGCGGUGAAAUGCGUAGAUAUCAGGAGGAACACCGAUGGCGAAGGCGGCCUGCUGGACUGCAACUGACGUUGAGGCCCGAAAGCGUGGGGAGCGAACAGGAUUAGAUACCCGAGUAGUC